GAUGAACGCUGGCGGCGUGCUUAACACAUGCAAGUCGAACGAAGCACUUUAUUUGAUUUCCUUCGGGACUGAUUAUUUUGUGACUGAGUGGCGGACGGGUGAGUAACGCGUGGGUAACCUGCCUUGUACAGGGGGAUAACAGUUGGAAACGGCUGCUAAUACCGCAUAAGCGCACGGCAUCGCAUGAUGCAGUGUGAAAAACUCCGGUGGUAUAAGAUGGACCCGCGUCGGAUUAGCUAGUUGGUGAGGUAACGGCCCACCAAGGCGACGAUCCAUAGCCGACCUGAGAGGGUGACCGGCCACAUUGGGACUGAGACACGGCCCAAACUCCUACGGGAAGCAGCAGUGGGGAAUAUUGCACAAUGGGCGAAAGCCUGAUGCAGCGACGCCGCGUGAGCGAAGAAGUAUUUCGGUAUGUAAAGCUCUAUCAGCAGGGAAGAUAAUGACGGUACCUGACGAAGAAGCACCGGCUAAAUACGUG
rnacentral:rRNA from 1 species